AUUGAACGCUGGCGGCAUGCCUUACACAUGCAAGUCGAACGGCAGCAUAGAGAGCUUGCUCUCUGAUGGCGAGUGGCGAACGGGUGAGUAAAGCAUCGGAACGUACCGUGUAGUGGGGGAUAACGUAGCGAAAGUUACACUAAUACCGCAUACGCACUGCGGUGGAAAGCAGGGGAUCGCAAGACCUUGCGCUAUACGAGCGGCCGAUGUCAGAUUAGCAAGUUGGUAGGGUAAAGGCCUAACAAGGCGACGAUAUGUAGCGGGUCUGAGAGGAUGAUCCGCCACACUGGGACUGAGACACGGCCCAGACUCCUACGGGAGGCAGCAGUGGGUAAUUUUGGACAAUGGGGGCAACCCUGAUCCAGCCAUGCCGCGUGAGUGAAGAAGGCCUUCGGGUUGUAAAGCUCUUUCGGCCGGGAAGAAAUCGCACAGGCUAAUACUCUGUGUGGAUGACGGUACCGGCAUAAGAAGCACCGGCUAACUACGUGCCAGCAGCCGCGGUAA
rnacentral:rRNA from 1 species